AGCUCCAAUAGCGUAUAUUAAAGUUGCUGCAGUUAAAAAGCUCGUAGUUGGAUUUGUGGCGCGGUCGUCCGGCGGGGCUUCCGGUUUCAUAGUAUCCCGGGGCCGUUUGUCUGGGUUCUUGGCCGCCCCAUUCUUCGGUUGCGUGUCGCUGGCAUUAGGUUGUCGGCUUCUUCGCGCCGAUCGUUUACUGUGAAAAAAUUAGAGUGUUUAAAGCAGGCUAUUGCUAUGAAUACAUUAGCAUGGAAUAAUAAUCUAGGACUUCGGUUCUAUUUUGUUGGUUUCUAGUACUGAAGUAAUGAUUGAUAGGGAUAGUUGGGGGUGCUAGUAUUCAGCGGCCAGAGGUGAAAUUCUUGGAUUCGCUGAAGACUAACUUAUGCGAAAGCAUUCACCAAGGAUGUCU
rnacentral:rRNA from 1 species